UACAGAGGUCCCAAGCGUUGUUCGGAUUCAUUGGGCGUAAAGGGUGUGUAGGUGGCGCCGUAAGUCGGGUGUGAAAUCUCGGGGCUUAACUCCGAAACUGCAUUCGAUACUGCGGUGCUUGAGGACUGGAGAGGAGACUGGAAUUCAUGGUGUAGCAGUGAAAUGCGUAGAGAUCAUGAGGAAGACCAGUGGCGAAGGCGGGUCUCUGGGACGGUACUGACGCUGAGACGCGAAAGCGUGGGGAGCAAACAGG
rnacentral:rRNA from 1 species